AGAGGUUUGAUCAUGGCUCAGAAUGAACGUUGGCGGUGCGCCUAACACAUGCAAGUCGAGCGAGAAAGCUCCUUCGGGAGCAAGUACAGCGGCGAACGGUUGAGUAACACGUGAGAAUUUAUCCUUUAGUGAAGAAUACCCUCGAGAAAUCGAGGUUAAUACUGCAUACGUCCCUCCGGGGAGAAAGGUGGCCUCUUUGCUGCCGCUGAAGGAAAAGCUUGCGGGCUAUCAGCUUGUUGGUGGGGUAAUGGCCUACCAAGGCUAUGACGGCUAGCCGGCCUGAGAGGGUGAACGGCCAGAUUGGGACUGAGACACGGCCCAGACUCCUACGGGAGGCAGCAGUGAGGAAUAUUGCGCAAUGGGCGAAAGCCUGACGCAGCGACACCGCGUGGGGGAUGAAGGUUUUUCGGAUCGUAAACUCCUUGUUAAGUGGGGAAGAAAGCUUCAGCUCUAAUAUAGCUGA
rnacentral:rRNA from 1 species